rnacentral:rRNA from 1 species
UACGUAGGGGGCGAGCGUUGUCCGGAAUGAUUGGGCGUAAAGGGCGCGUAGGCGGCCCGGUAAGUCUGGAGUGAAAGUCCUGUUUUUAAGAUGGGAAUUGCUUUGGAUACUGUCGGGCUUGAGUGCAGGAGAGGUAAGUGGAAUUCCCAGUGUAGCGGUGAAAUGCGUAGAGAUUGGGAGGAACACCAGUGGCGAAGGCGACUUACUGGACUGUAACGGACGCUCAGGCGCGAAAGUGUGGGGAUCAGACAGGAUUAGAUACCCUGGUAGUCCACACUGUAAACGAGGAAUGCUAGGUGUAGGGGGUAUCGAGCCUUUCUGUGCCGCAGGCAACACAAUAAGCAUUCCGCCUGGGGAGUACGGCCGCAAGGUGGAAGCUCAAAUGAAUUGACGGGG